rnacentral:rRNA from 1 species
AACGAACGCUGGCGGCAUGCCUAACACAUGCAAGUCGAACGAGACCUUCGGGUCUAGUUGCGCAGGGGGGGGUAACGCGUGGGAACCUGCGCUUAGGUUCGGAAUAACUCCCCGAAAGGGGUGCUAAUACCGCAUAAUCUCAUCGCACCAAAGAUUUAUCGCCUUUGGAUGGGCCCGCGUUGGAUUAGCGAGUUGGUAUAGUAAAAGCCUACCAAGGCGACGAUCCAUAGCUGGUCGGAGAGGAUGAUCAUCCACACUGGGACUGAGACCCGGCCCAGACUCCUACGGGAGGCAGGAGUGGGGAACAUUGGACGCUGCGCGAAAGACUGAUCCAGCAAGGCCGCGUGAGUGGUGAAGGCGUUAGGAUUGUAAAGCUCUUUUAACCGGGAUGAUAGUGACAGUACCGGGAGAAUAAGCGCCGGCUAACUACGUG